rnacentral:misc_RNA from 1 species
GAUGAAGAACGUAGCGAAAUGCGAUAAGUAAUGUGAAUUGCAGAAUUCAGUGAAUCAUCGAAUCUUUGAACGCACAUUGCGCCCGCCAGUAUUCUGGCGGGCAUGCCUGUUCGAGCGUCAUUACAACCCUCAGGCCCCCGGGCCUGGCGUUGGGGAUCGGCGAGGCGCCCCCCGCGGGCACGCGCCGUCCCCCAAAUACAGUGGCGGUCCCGCCGCAGCUUCCAUUGCGUAGUAGCUAACACCUCGCAACUGGAGAGCGGCGCGGCCAUGCCGUAAAACACCCAACUUCUGAAUGUUGACCUCGAAUCAGGUAGGACUACCCGCUGAACUUAAGCAUAUCAAUAAGCGGAGGA